rnacentral:rRNA from 1 species
UACGAAGGGGGCUAGCGUUGCUCGGAAUUACUGGGCGUAAAGCGCACGUAGGCGGUCUUUUAAGUCGGGGGUGAAAUCCUGGAGCUCAACUCCAGAACUGCCUUCGAUACUGGAAGACUUGAGUCCGGGAGAGGUGAGUGGAACUGCGAGUGUAGAGGUGAAAUUCGUAGAUAUUCGCAAGAACACCAGUGGCGAAGGCGGCUCACUGGCCCGGUACUGACGCUGAUGCACGAAAGCUGGGGGAGCAAACAGG